rnacentral:lncRNA from 1 species
AAAUAAGUAACCUGUAACUACGGACUACGUAUUGAUUAUUUUCAUACGUUUUAGAAAUGUGUAAAGUUGCUUCAUGAUAAAGUUUGAGAUAAAGUAUUGAGUUGAGAUUUGGUUUUGUAAGUACAGUAAUUCAUUACGUUUCUUGUGUUUGAAUAAUAAAGUUGUGUACUAAAAUCAUCAAAAUGUCUUUUUCACAAAAAUUAAUUUUUUGGAUCGCUGAUAAUGGUGGUAAAAAUAUAUGGAGUUACAACGAGGAUUCUAGAUUUUUUUUGUUUCUAAGUCUGUUUUUUAUCUUGUGGGUGUAGAAGGAUUGUCCUAGGAGGAUGUUUCCCAGAGGGGGUUUGCCCCUGGAGAAUUUUGUGCCAGGAAUUUUAUCCACUUGGGAUUUGGAUAAGUGACUUCGAUUUAAUAUUUUUUCCCUUUCUAAGCAGCUCUUUGUAGAUUUUUCACAUACUUAAAUUGAUGAAUAUUUGGAGAGGAUAAAUACACUUUGGAAUGAUAAAUAUUGAAGUGUGAAAAACAACACAGGAUAUUUUUUUAUUAAGAUUAACUACGUAAAAAAUGUAUCAAGUGAAUGAUUGUACAUUGUACAUAAUUGUUGCCCAAUCAGAUUUUAUCCAAUCAAUUUAUAUCAUUAUCAGAAACAUAUUAUAAGGGAGUGUUCUUUUCAAAUAAAGUGAUAAACAAAUGUGUCAAAUUAA